rnacentral:rRNA from 1 species
UGCUGGAGGUAUCAGAAGUGCGAAUGCUGACAUAAGUAACGAUAAAGCGGGUGAAAAGCCCGCUCGCCGGAAGACCAAGGGUUCCUGUCCAACGUUAAUCGGGGCAGGGUGAGUCGACUCCUAAGGCGAGGCCGAAAGGCGUAGUCGAUGGGAAACAGGUUAAUAUUCCUGUACUUGGUGUUACUGCGAAGGGGGGACGGAGAAGGCUAUGUUGGCCGGGCGACGGUUGUCCCGGUUUAAGCGUGUAGGCUGGUUUUCCAGGCAAAUCCGGAAAACCAAGGCUGAGGCGUGAUGACGAGGCACUACGGUGCUGAAGUGACAAAUGCCCUGCUUCCAGGAAAAGCCUCUAAGCAUCAGGUAACAUCAAAUCGUACCCCAAACCGACACAGGUGGUCAGGUAGAGAAUACCAAGGCGCUUGAGAGAACUCGGGUGAAGGAACUAGGCAAAAUGGUGCCGUAACUUCGGGAGAAGGCACGCUGAUAUGUAGGUGAAGCGACUUGCUCGUGGAGCUGAAAUCAGUCGAAGAUACCAGCUGGCUGCAACUGUUUAUUAAAAACACAGCACUGUGCAAACACGAAAGUGGACGUAUACGGUGUGACGCCUGCCCGGUGCCGGAAGGUUAAUUGAUGGGGUUAGCGGUAACGCGAAGCUCUUGAUCGAAGCCCCGGUAAACGGCGGCCGUAACUAUAACGGUCCUAAGGUAGCGAAAUUCCUUGUCGGGUAAGUUCCGACCUGCACGAAUGGCGUAAUGAUGGCCAGGCUGUCUCCACCCGAGACUCAGUGAAAUUGAACUCGCUGUGAAGAUGCAGUGUACCCGCGGCAAGACGGAAAGACCCCGUGAACCUUUACUAUAGCUUGACACUGAACAUUGAGCCUUGAUGUGUAGGAUAGGUGGGAGGCUUUGAAGUGUGGACGCCAGUCUGCAUGGAGCCGACCUUGAAAUACCACCCUUUAAUGUUUGAUGUUCUAACGUUGGCCCGUAAUCCGGGUUGCGGACAGUGUCUGGUGGGUAGUUUGACUGGGGCGGUCUCCUCCUAAAGAGUAACGGAGGAGCACGAAGGUUGGCUAAUCCUGGUCGGACAUCAGGAGGUUAGUGCAAUGGCAUAAGCCAGCUUGACUGCGAGCGUGACGGCGCGAGCAGGUGCGAAAGCAGGUCAUAGUGAUCCGGUGGUUCUGAAUGGAAGGGCCAUCGCUCAACGGAUAAAAGGUACUCCGGGGAUAACAGGCUGAUACCGCCCAAGAGUUCAUAUCGACGGCGGUGUUUGGCACCUCGAUGUCGGCUCAUCACAUCCUGGGGCUGAAGUAGGUCCCAAGGGUAUGGCUGUUCGCCAUUUAAAGUGGUACGCGAGCUGGGUUUAGAACGUCGUGAGACAGUUCGGUCCCUAUCUGCCGUGGGCGCUGGAGAACUGAGGGGGGCUGCUCCUAGUACGAGAGGACCGGAGUGGACGCAUCACUGGUGUUCGGGUUGUCAUGCCAAUGGCACUGCCCGGUAGCUAAAUGCGGAAGAGAUAAGUGCUGAAAGCAUCUAAGCACGAAACUUGCCCCGAGAUGAGUUCUCCCUGAGACUUAGAGUCUCCUGAAGGAACGUUGAAGACGACGACGUUGAUAGGCCGGGUGUGUAAGCGCAGCGAUGCGUUGAGCUAACCGGUACUAAUGAACCGUGAGGCUUAACCUUACAACGCCGAAG